GCUGAAGGGGAAUGAGCUCCCAAUGCUGGCCCCUGGAGGAGGAGGCUCUUGAACCGAGCUGGGAAGGAAGGUAAAGGGCAUUCGUGGCUAGAGAAGCCCAAGCAGUGGGCCUGCUGUUUGGAUUGGGAGGGCCAGGAGGUGUCCUGUGUCAGGGCCACAGCCCGGGAGCACGUGGCGGUCAGAGAGGAGCGGAGGCAGUGGUCCAGAGGGUGGAGGUGAGCCCCAGCCUCCCUGACCCCCAGGCUCCCCUGGCUCCAGCCCUAAGGUGCUCUCCCAGCCGUCCGACCUGGAUCUCCAAGACGUAGAGGAAGUGGAGAUCGGCAGAGACACCUUCUGGCCCGACUCCGAGCCCAAGCCGGAGCAGGCUCCACGCUCUCCUGGCUCUCAGGCCCCUGACGAGGGGGCGGGCGGGGCGCUGCGCAGCCUCCUGAGGAGCCUUCCCCGCAGGGCCCGGUGCAGCGCCGGCUUCGGGCCUGAAUCCAGCGCGGAGCGGCCGGCGGGCCAGCCGCCUGGGGCCGUCCCUUGCGCUCAGCCGCGGGGCGCCUGGCGCGUGACGCUCGUGCAGCAAGCAGCGGCCGGGCCCGAGGGUGCGCCCGAGCGGGCUGCCGAGCUGGG
rnacentral:sRNA from 1 species